GGGCAGGUACCCAAGCGGCCAAAGGGGACAGACUGUAAAUCUGUUGUGCUUGCACUUCGAAGGUUCAAAUCCUUCCCUGCCCA
rnacentral:tRNA from 2 species